rnacentral:rRNA from 1 species
AUUGAACGCUGGCGGCAGGCCUAACACAUGCAAGUCGAACGAGUGGCGGACGGGUGAGUACUUUCUGGGAAACUGCCCGAUGGAGGGGGAUAACUACUGUAACCGGUAUCUAAUACUGCAUAACAUCCGCUGUGACCAUAUGGGAUUAGCUAGUCGGUGGGGUAAUGGCUCACCUAGGCGACGAGCCCUAGCUGGUCUGAGAGGAUUACCAGCCACACUGGAACUGAGACACGGUCCAGACUCCUACGGGAGGCAGCAGUGGGGAAUAUUGCACAAUGGGCGCAAGCCUGAUGCAGCCAUGCCGCGUGUAUGAAGAAGGCCUUCGGGUUGUAAAGUACUUUCAGCGAGGAGGCGUUACUCGCAGAAGAAGCACCGGCUAACUCCGUGCCAGCAGUCGCGGUAAUUC